rnacentral:rRNA from 1 species
UAAUACAUGCAAGUCGUACGCUUCUUUUUCCACCGGAGCUUGCUCCACCGGAAAAAGAAGAGUGGCGAACGGGUGAGUAACACGUGGGUAACCUGCCCAUCAGAAGGGGAUAACACUUGGAAACAGGUGCUAAUACCGUAUAACAAUCGAAACCGCAUGGUUUUGAUUUGAAAGGCGCUUUCGGGUGUCGCUGAUGGAUGGACCCGCGGUGCAUUAGCUAGUUGGUGAGGUAACGGCUCACCAAGGCCACGAUGCAUAGCCGACCUGAGAGGGUGAUCGGCCACAUUGGGACUGAGACACGGCCCAAACUCCUACGGGAGGCAGCAGUAGGGAAUCUUCGGCAAUGGACGAAAGUCUGACCGAGCAACGCCGCGUGAGUGAAGAAGGUUUUCGGAUCGUAAAACUCUGUUGUUAGAGAAGAACAAGGAUGAGAGUAACUGUUCAUCCCUUGACGGUAUCUAACCAGAAAGCCACGGCUAACUACGUGCCAGCAGCCGCGGUAAUACGUAGGUGGCAAGCGUUGUCCGGAUUUAUUGGGCGUAAAGCGAGCGCAGGCGGUUUCUUAAGUCUGAUGUGAAAGCCCCCGGCUCAACCGGGGAGGGUCAUUGGAAACUGGGAGACUUGAGUGCAGAAGAGGAGAGUGGAAUUCCAUGUGUAGCGGUGAAAUGCGUAGAUAUAUGGAGGAACACCAGUGGCGAAGGCGGCUCUCUGGUCUGUAACUGACGCUGAGGCUCGAAAGCGUGGGGAGCAAACAGGAUUAGAUACCCUGGUAGUCCACGCCGUAAACGAUGAGUGCUAAGUGUUGGAGGGUUUCCGCCCUUCAGUGCUGCAGCUAACGCAUUAAGCACUCCGCCUGGGGAGUACGACCGCAAGGUUGAAACUCAAAGGAAUUGACGGGGGCCCGCACAAGCGGUGGAGCAUGUGGUUUAAUUCGAAGCAACGCGAAGAACCUUACCAGGUCUUGACAUCCUUUGACCACUCUAGAGAUAGAGCUUCCCCUUCGGGGGCAAAGUGACAGGUGGUGCAUGGUUGUCGUCAGCUCGUGUCGUGAGAUGUUGGGUUAAGUCCCGCAACGAGCGCAACCCUUAUUGUUAGUUGCCAUCAUUCAGUUGGGCACUCUAGCAAGACUGCCGGUGACAAACCGGAGGAAGGUGGGGAUGACGUCAAAUCAUCAUGCCCCUUAUGACCUGGGCUACACACGUGCUACAAUGGGAAGUACAACGAGUCGCGAAGUCGCGAGGCUAAGCUAAUCUCUUAAAGCUUCUCUCAGUUCGGAUUGUAGGCUGCAACUCGCCUACAUGAAGCCGGAAUCGCUAGUAAUCGCGGAUCAGCACGCCGCGGUGAAUACGUUCCCGGGCCUUGUACACACCGCCCGUCACACCACGAGAGUUUGUAACACCCGAAGUCGGUGAGGUAACCUUUUGGAGCCAGCCGCCUAAGG